rnacentral:rRNA from 1 species
AUUGAACGCUAGCGGGAUGCCUUACACAUGCAAGUCGAACGGAGUGGCGAACGGGUGAGUAAUGUAUCGGAACGUGCCCAGUAGCGGGGGAUAACUACGCGAAAGCGUUGCUAAUUCCGCAUACUAUUGGAGUGGCCGAUAUCGGAUUGGCUAGUUGGUGGGGUAACGGCUCACCAAGGCGACGAUCCGUAGCUGGUUUGAGAGGACGAACAGCCAGAAUGGGACGGAGACACGGCGCAGACUCCUACGGGAGGAAGCAGUGGGUGAGUUUGGACAAUGGGGGAAACCCAGAUCCAGACAUCCCGCGUGUGCGAUGAAGGCGGUCGGGUUGUAAAGCACUUUUGGCAGGAAAGCGGUACCUGCAGAAUAAGCACCGGCUAACUACGUGCCAGGAGCCGCGGUAAUAC